rnacentral:rRNA from 1 species
UUCUGGUUGAUCCUGCCGGACCAUACUGCUAUCGGGAUGAGACUAAGCCAUGCGAGUCAUGCGCUCUCCAGCCAUGUAGAGAGUGCGGCAGACGGUUCAAUAACACGUAGCUAACCUGCCCUAUGGAUGAAUAUAACCCCGGGAAACUGGGGCUAAUAAUCAAUAGGUGGUAGAACCUGGAAUGGUCAUCCGCCCAAAGGGCGUUAGAAACAUGCUUCUAGCGUUGCCAUAGGAUGGAGCUGCGGCCGAUCAGGUUGUUGGUAGGGUAACGGCCUACCAAGCCUACAACCGGUACGGGCCCUGAGAGGGGGAGCCCGGAGAUGGGAACUGAGACAAGGUCCCAGGUCCUACGGGGCGCAGCAGGCGCGAAAACUCCACAAUGCACAAAAGUGUGAUGGGG